GAAAAGGAAAGGAUUUGAAUCUGAUGAAGAAAAAAGAGAGGAAAAUAAAAGAAAUGUAAUUAAAGUGAUUCUUAGAUUCCAGAACCCAUGUGCUUUGAAUAAUUUAAAAAUAAGUGAGGCAAUAUAUAAAAUAGUAGGUGAGGUGAAAGCAGUCAAAACGUUAAGAGACGGUAAUCUACUGGUGUUACGCAGAGACAGAGAUCAGGUGCAGGGACUGAUGAGAUGCGAGACAUUAUUGUGAAAAACAAUCAAGCCACAAAUAUGGCAGGACAAAGGAAAAGUAAUGGGAGUAAUAUCUGGAGUAUCAACUGAUCUGACGGAGCAAGAGAUUAAAGGUAAUGUAAAAGGAGCUCGGGUGAUUAAAGUGAAACACUUGUUUGUUACAAGUGAAGGAGCUAAAAGUCCUAGUAAGUCAGUUAUGUUAGUCCUAGAAGAGGAUAGAUUACCUGAAAAAGUGAUGAUUGGGUAUGUCAGUUAUACAGUAAGGCAAUACAUUCCUCCACCAACCAGAUGCUACAAAUGUCAAAGGUUUGGACAUAUUGCUGCUGCUUGCAGAGCUAAGACGAGGUGUGCUAAGUGUGGAGAGGAGCAUGAGUAUGGAAAAUGUUCUGAAGGAACUAAGUUAACGUGUUGUAAUUGUGGUGGGAACAUAGUGCUGCAUUUAAAGGAUGUGAAGCUCAUAAAAGAGCAGUGCAGUGGUUGAGGUAAAAUGUUUAUU